rnacentral:rRNA from 1 species
UAGGGAAUCUUCGGCAAUGGACGAAAGUCUGACCGAGCAACGCCGCGUGAGUGAAGAAGGUUUUCGGAUCGUAAAACUCUGUUGUUAGAGAAGAACAAGGACGUUAGUAACUGAACGUCCCCUGACGGUAUCUAACCAGAAAGCCACGGCUAACUACGUGCCAGCAGCCGCGGUAAUACGUAGGUGGCAAGCGUGGUCCGGAUUUAUUGGGCGUAAAGCGAGCGCAGGCGGUUUCUUAAGUCUGAUGUGAAAGCCCCCGGCUCAACCGGGGAGGGUCAUUGGAAACUGGGAGACGUGAGUGCAGAAGAGGAGAGUGGAAGUCCAUGUGUAGCGGUGAAAUGCGUAGAUAUAUGGAGGAACACCAGUGGCGAAGGCGGCUCUCUGGUCUGUAACCGAAGCUGAGGCUGGAAAGCGUGGGGAGCAAACAGG